UUUUCCUGAGGAAGCCUAAGAUUUACCAACAGUCUCCACUGUUGAUCCCUGUAUCAUUCAAUUUCUUUCCUCAAAUGAAGCAACUGGUUUACACUCUAUUGAAUUAGUCAGAAACAUGGUUUCACCUGUCCCUCAGAGGGGAAACUCCCCCAGAAGAACAUGAUUUAGGAUUCCUGUUGGGUCUCUGAUGAGCUUAAACCUUCUCUACAGGGCAUUCACAGAAGAUAGAUGUAAGCUACCUCCUCAGCAAACUUCAGGCUCACAAAGAAGAGGGUGAAUAAUGUGCCCUAUGGAACACAAGCCUUUGGAAAGGAGGAAGAGGUACCUACCACAGAUCUCCAGGUGGUUUUGGAGAAAGUGAUGAGGUGCACUCUUUCCUGCGCUCCUGCUUCAUAACCGUAAGCACAAAGGCAUGAUCAGUCCUGUUGUCACCUUGGCACUGGCAGCAACUGGCUUCCACCUGUGAGCAUGAGGAAGAAGAGGAAGACUAAUAGAUACUGGCCAGAGAACAGACAUACCAGCCACACCACGGCCGCAGUACAGAGCCACAGCAGAUAUGCCGGGC